GACUACCACCAUAGACUGGUUUGUGUGACAGAGAGGGAAAAGUUUGAGAUUCCAAUCCGGGCCAUUGGGCCACGUGCCAUUCUUGACUUUCGAGACAAGCUUGACUUGCCCGUGUGUCCUGUGAAAGCUUCAACUGAGAAGACUCAACUUGUUUGUAAUGUAGGAAACAGCAAAGCCAAAUUCAGGCUCCACACAGAGAGGCCUUUUUCAGUGACACCUGAGUUUGGGGCACUUGAUGUUGGCGAGAGUAUGCAGGUCACUGUGGUUUUCCACCCAAUGAACACAGGAAACCACAGGCAGGAUCUGUUGCUGCACUACCAUACUGGUGAAGAUGUGUACAUUAGCCUGCAUGGAUCUUGUGAGGAACUGAACAUCCACCUUGAACCUGACUCCAUCUGGAUGGAGAAUACUUAUGUCUCCCUGAUCAGUACACGCACAGUGUCCCUCACCAACCACAGUAGCAUCCCUCUUCAGUACUGCUGGACUGUGUGGCCCAGCCAACAAGAAGAGGACCUGAGCUUACUGAGGGAGGGCUCAGUGCUCCAGCAGAAGGAAGAAGUCGAGCUAGGACAGUUGCUUAAGUCUGACCCUGCAGGGAUCCAUUACCUCCCACUGCAGUCCAGAGCCCCACAGGAACACAGAAGUCAGGAUGCAAACGACUGCCUCUUGGCCCUUUCACACUGUAUAACUGUGGAGCCUCCGGAGGGGGAAAUAUGGCCCAGCACCACAGCGAAGUUCACCAUCAUCUUCAAGCCUGAGGAGGCCAGACUUUAUCAACAAACCAUAUACUGCGAUGUCACAGGAUGUAAAUCAGCGUUACCCCUCACAGUCAAGGGCAAAGGCAUGGGCCCUCAACUUGUGCUUAACUAUGAUGGGAUGAACUUAAAAGAUUUAUUCAUAGGUGAAAGAUUUCGCCAAGAG